rnacentral:rRNA from 1 species
GCGGCGUGCCUAAUACAUGCAAGUCGAGCGAAUGGAUUAAGAGCUUGCUCUUAUGAAGUUAGCGGCGAACGGGUGAGUAACACGUGAGGAACCUGCCCCGGACUCUGGGAUAACCCGAGGAAACUCGAGCUAAUACCGGAUGCCCUCAUCGGGCCGCAUGACCUGAUGAGGAAAGUUUUUCGGUCCGGGAGGGCCUCGCGGCCUAUCAGCUAGUUGGUGAGGUAACGGCUCACCAAGGCUACGACGGGUAGCUGGUUUGAGAGAACGAUCAGCCACACUGGGACUGAGACACGGCCCAGACUCCUACGGGAGGCAGCAGUGGGGAAUCUUGCGCAAUGGGCGAAAGCCUGACGCAGCAACGCCACGUGCGGGAUGACGGCCUUCGGGUUGUAAACCGCUUUCAGCAGGGACGAAAAUGACGGUACCUGCAGAAGAAGCUCCGGCUAACUACGUGCCAGCCGCCGCCGUAA